rnacentral:rRNA from 1 species
GGAGUUAGCCGGUGCUUCUUCUGUGAGUGAUGUCCUUCCUGCCGGCUAUUAACCCGCAGGCCUUCUUCCUCACUGAAAGUGCUUUACAACCCGAAGGCCUUCUUCACACACGCGGCAUGGCUGGAUCAGGGUUGCCCCCAUUGUCCAAUAUUCCCCACUGCUGCCUCCCGUAGGAGUCUGGGCCGUGUCUCAGUCCCAGUGUGGCUGAUCAUCCUCUCAGACCAGCUACGGAUCGUCGCCUUGGUGAGCCGUUACCUCACCAACCAGCUAAUCCGACAUAGGCUCAUCCGAUAGCGCGAGGCCCGAAGGUCCCCCGCUUUCCCCCGUAGGGCGUAUGCGGUAUUAGCCUGGGUUUCCCCAGGUUAUCCCCCGACUACCGGGCAGAUUCCUAUGCAUUACUCACCCGUCCGCCGCUCGCCACCAGGGAGCAAGCUCCCCGUGCUGCCGCUCGACUUGCAUGUGUAGCNGCCGCCAGCGUCAUCUGAGCGAGAUACAACUACUGA